ACACCGGCAGCUCUAGUGGUAGCUGUUUUUAUUGGGCCUAAAGCGUUCGUAGCCGGUUUGGUAAGUCACUGGUGAAAUCCUGUAGCUUAACUAUGGGAAUUGCUGGUGAUACUGUUGAACUUGAGGUCGGGAGAGGUUAGCGGUACUCCCAGGGUAGAGGUGAAAUUCUGUAAUCCUGGGAGGGCCACCUGUGCCGAAGGCGCCGCACUCGACCGAUCCAGGCGGUGAGGGACGAACGCUAGGGGCGCUAACCGUAUGAGGUGCCCGGGGACCCCUAGCCGUAAACGAUGCGGACUUGGUGUUGGGAUGGCUUUGCGCCGCUCCGGUGCCGAAGGGAAGCUGUUAAGUGAGCCGCCUGGGAGGUAAGGUCGCAAGACUGAAGCUUACAGGAAUUGACGGGG
rnacentral:rRNA from 1 species